rnacentral:lncRNA from 1 species
UGCCCCAUGAGGAAACUCAACUACACAAACGAUUUCCUAAUAGCAAUAUCCCAUACAAUCCCAAGAACUCAUUCCUUUUUCAACUUCCAUCAUGUACUCACUUUUCCCACAAUGUCAUGUAAUAAUAAAUCAAAUAGAACAUGCUUUCAUAUAUGAGCAUAUCAUAAUCAAAUCAAUAAGCAUAAUCUCCAAUGAUCAUAUAUCUAAGUCAAAAGAACAGUUCAAUAUCAAACAAUGCCAACAAUAUCACACACAUCAAUGUCAAACAACUCCAACAAUAGCCAAACAAUUCAAGCAUAAUCACAACAUAAAACAAACACCCCAUCAAACCCUACCUCGAAUUUCGCAGCGCAAACCUGAGCUCUAGCUCCGUUGCCUACUCUUGUGGAUCACCAACGACCUCCUCGGAACCUUACACAGAGACAAGACCAAACGAAGUUUCCCUCUCACACCCACUAAGUUUCUAUCUGUUUUCCAAAACUCUCUCUUUGCUCCUUCCAUCUGUUUUUGAUCGAAAUCCACUCUCCACUUCUCCCAAUCCAUCCUAAUCUACUAGCCCAACUCUCUAGGCUCUCCUAUGUAUGCCAUCUCUCACUUUGCAUGCGUGCUGAGAGAGAGCAUGACAAAAGGGAAUGAUUGCUGCGUUCUUACUGAACGUAGUAAUUAAUUUUUUUUUUUGACAAAAGUAAAAAUACCUAAAAUCUCAAUAAAACUAAAAAAUAAUCUAAUAAAACAAACAAAAUAGUUUAGGAUAUUACAAUCUACCCACCUAAAUAGAAUUUCGUCCCGAAAUUCGAACUUACCAAGAGUAGAGAAAAGUUCUGGAUACUUGUUGUGCAUUUCAGUUUCCAAUUCCCACGUCUCCUCUUGAACAUUUCCAUUUUGCCAAAGAAUUCUGACCGAAGGAAUUGUUUUAGUACGCAAAACUUGUUCCUUACGAUCUAAGACUUGAAGUGGCCUUAUUUCAAAAGAUAGCUGCUCAUGCACUUCGAAUUCUCCCCAAUCAAUAACAUGAGUAGGAUCUGGAUGAUACUUCCGCAACAUUGAAACAUGGAAUACGUUGUGAAUAUUUGAAAGUUGAGGUGGCAAUGCUACAUUGUAAGCAACUUCUCCAAUUCGUUCCAGAAUUUCAAAAGGUCCAACAAAACGCGGAGCUAACUUCCCUGACUUCCCAAAUCUCUGGACUCCUUUACGUGGUCAUACUUUAANNNNNNNNNNNNNNNNNNNNGUAGCUAAAGCUUCAUUAAUAGGUGUAGCUAAAGGAGGUUGGGAAGGCCCCGAAACAACUUCACUUGGAUCCUCCAUGGGUUCAUGGUUAGGGUCUUCUUCAUCUACUUGAACUUGAUUAUUAACAGACUCACUAACUUCAUCCUCCAUUGGUUCGUAGUUCGGAUCAUCCUCCUCAUCUUGUUCUUCAUUACCUUCGACUUCUACACCGGGUGGAGGCCAUUGAUUUCCACCAUGUUCAGCAACAUCUUCUUCUAAAUGAUGAUAAAGACUAUCAGACAUCUCUUGAAUUCUUUCAGAUCUCGCUAUGUCUUGAUCGCGCAUGAUACGAUGCCUAACAACCUGCCUUUGCAUCUGAGGUGUAUAGAACAUCCACCGUUGCCCUACAUCUCUUAUCCGGUUUCUCAACCUCAACGUGGCCGCAUAACGGACACGUAGAUGGUAGUCAACUUGAUCCACGGGCCUCGGUCCAUUUGGCCCAAUCUCGAAUUCACCGAAUGUAUCUUCACCUUGAACCGGUUCCAUACCUAUACAUCAAAAUGCAAGGAUUCCAAUACAUAAAGAUGCAUAAAUAGAAGGAAUGCUAUCCUAAAAUUUCAACUUUCUAAUUCCUUAGGAGCUUAACCUAAUGCUCUGAUACCAACUUGUCACACCCCAACUCGAGUAAAAGUAUAAUCUCUAGUUGAGAUGUGAAUCACACUCUAAUUACAGACAGUUUAAUAUCCAUAAUUAAAAUGAGACUGAUAUCAUUACAUGACGUAAGAAAAGAAACGAUCGCACCUUUAUUUAUAUUACAAACCUUUAAAAAGGGUGCUAAAAGCACACAGGUUUAAAGUAUUUACAACAAACAGCAAACAAACCAAAACAAGAAUAGCGUUACUCCUCAUAACGUCUAUUAUUUAUUCAAUCUCUAUUUACAAACAAAAGCAAGAAGGUUCUAAUUUGCAUUAUAAGAUUUCCAAAACACUUCGAGAAAACACCUGCAAUGGGUUUGAAUGGGGUGAGCUACACUUAACAAUACUAGAUAAAUAAAUAUAGCACAUCGCAACAAUGGCAACGAAACAAAUAAACAUAUUAAGAAUGCAAGUAUGCAAUGUUCGACUCAACUCUUCCCACUUCACAUCACCCUCAUAAAACUCUUCUCAUUUGUUAGUCAUCUUGUUAUACUCAUGGUCUCCAAACUCGAAACCCGAUUAGAUAGUUUUAUCGACUCUAGCGUCGAUGGGGCUUCACUCCCCUCUUCGUGCACUUGUGGGCUACCGUAGGUCUUGGAUGCCCCAUGAGGAAACUCAACUACACAAACGAUUUCCUAAUAGCAAUAUCCCAUACAAUCCUAAGAACUCAUUCCUUUUUCAACUUCCAUCAUGUACUCACUUUUCCUACAAUGUCAUGUAAUAAUAAAUCAAAUAGAACAUGUUUUCAUAUAUGAGCAUAUCAUAAUCAAAUCAAUAAGCAUAAUCUCCAAUGAUCAUAUAUCUAAGUCAAAAGAACAGUUCAAUAUCAAAUAAUGCCAACAAUAUUACACACAUCAAUGUCAAACAACUCCAACAAUAGCCAAACAAUUCAAGCAUAAUCACAACAUAAAACAAACACCCCAUCAAACCCUACCUCGAAUUUCGCAGCGCAAACCUGAGCUCUAGCUCCGUUGCCUACUCUUGUGGAUCACCAACGACCUCCUCGGAACCUUACACAGAGACAAGAGCAAACUAAGUUUCCCUCUCACACCCACUAAGUUUCUAUCUGUUUUCCAAAACUCUCUCUUUGCUCCUCCCAUCUGUUUUUGAUCGAAAUCCACUCUCCUCUUCUCCCAAUCCAUCCUAAUCUACUAGCCCAACUCUCUAGGCUCUCCUAUGUAUGCCAUCUCUCACUUUGCAUGCGUGCUGAGAAAGAGCACAACAAAAGGGAAUGAUUGCUGCGUUCUUACUGAACGUAGUAAUUAAUUUUUUUUUGACAAAAGUAAAAAUAC